rnacentral:lncRNA from 1 species
UUUCCAGCUGCAGCAAGGGAGGCAGGGAGAUUUCAUUGCUGGGGAGGAGGGACUUUCGGAAAGCAUAUUUUAUUCCUUUUGCCGGUGAGGAGGCUUUUCAGGUAUGGACUCUGUUCAUUACCUUCUUCAUUUUGUUUCUAAAUAUCGUUGCUGUUUUUGUGAAUGAGCAUUGGGUCAUAGGUUUAGUUUUUCACUGAUUUCCAGGCUAGCUAAGGAUUUAUGGUCAUUAUUGUGUUCUUCUUUUCUUCUUGGUUUGAUUGAAUGGUGACUUGAUUCUGUUUUUAUGCUUCACGGUAAGGUAUCUCUGAGUUUAUUUCCUUGUUUUUGGUAUGAAUCCCUG